rnacentral:rRNA from 1 species
GCACGGGUGCGUAACGCGUAUGCAACCUACCUUAAUCAGGGGGAUAGCCCGGAGAAAUCCGGAUUAACACCGCAUAAAAACACAGGAUAGCAUUAUCCAAUGUUCAAAUAUUUAUAGGAUUAAGAUGGGCAUGCGUGUCAUUAGCUAGUUGGCGGGGUAACGGCCCACCAAGGCGACGAUGACUAGGGGAUCUGAGAGGAUGACCCCCCACACUGGUACUGAGACACGGACCAGACUCCUACGGGAGGCAGCAGUAAGGAAUAUUGGUCAAUGGAGGCAACUCUGAACCAGCCAUGCCGCGUGCAGGAAGACAGCCCUCUGGGUCGUAAACUGCUUUUAUCCGGGAAUAAACCUUUCUACGUGUAGAGAGCUGAAUGUACCGGAAGAAUAAGGAUCGGCUAACUCCGUGCCAGCAGCCGCGGUAAUACGGAGGAUCCAAGCGUUAUCCGGAUUUAUUGGGUUUAAAGGGUGCGUAGGCGGCCUGUUAAGUCAGGGGUGAAAGACGGUGGCUCAACCAUCGCAGUGCCCUUGAUACUGACGGGCUUGAAUGAACUAGAGGUAGGCGGAAUGUGACAAGUAGCGGUGAAAUGCAUAGAUAUGUCACAGAACACCGAUUGCGAAGGCAGCUUACUAUGGUUUUAUUGACGCUGAGGCACGAAAGCGUGGGGAUCAAACAGGAUUAGAUACCCUGGUAGUCCACGCCCUAAACGAUGAAUACUCGCUGUUAGCGAUAUACAGUUAGCGGCUAAGCGAAAGCGUUAAGUAUUCCACCUGGGGAGUACGCCCGCAAGGGUGAAACUCAAAGGAAUUGACGGGGGCCCGCACAAGCGGAGGAGCAUGUGGUUUAAUUCGAUGAUACGCGAGGAACCUUACCCGGGCUUGAAAGUUACUGAAUGAUCCAGAGAUGGGUCAGUCCUUCGGGACAGGAAACUAGGUGCUGCAUGGCUGUCGUCAGCUCGUGCCGUGAGGUGUUGGGUUAAGUCCCGCAACGAGCGCAACCCCUAUGUUUAGUUGCCAGCACGUUAAGGUGGGGACUCUAAACAGACUGCCUGUGCAAACAGAGAGGAAGGAGGGGACGACGUCAAGUCAUCAUGGCCCUUACGUCCGGGGCUACACACGUGCUACAAUGGAUGGUACAGAGGGCAGCAAGCUAGCAAUAGCAAGCCAAUCUCAAAAAGCCAUUCACAGUUCGGAUAGAGGUCUGCAACUCGACCUCUUGAAGUUGGAUUCGCUAGUAAUCGCGUAUCAGCAAUGACGCGGUGAAUACGUUCCCGGGCCUUGUACACACC